rnacentral:rRNA from 1 species
UACGGGGGGAGCAAGCGUUAUUCGGUAUAACUAGGCGUAAAGGGUCCGUAGGCGGCAAGUUUCGUUAUUAGGUAAAAACUAGGGCUCAACCUUAGAAAACUAAUAAUACAGAUUUAGCUAGAGUAAUAUAGGGGAUAGUAGAAUUCCUAUAGUAGGGAUGAAAUCCAGUCACAAUAGGAGGAAUGUCAGAGGCGAAGGCGACUAUCUGGAUAUUACUGACGCUCAGUGACGAAGGCAUAGGGAUCAAAUGGG